rnacentral:rRNA from 1 species
GACGAACGCUGGCGGCGUGCCUAAUACAUGCAAGUAGAACGCUGAAGGAGGAGCUUGCUUCUCUGGAUGAGUUGCGAACGGGUGAGUAACGCGUAGGUAACCUGCCUGGUAGCGGGGGAUAACUAUUGGAAACGAUAGCUAAUACCGCAUAAUAGUAGAUGUUGCAUGGCAUUUGCUUAAAAGGUGCAAUUGCAUCACUACCAGAUGGACCUGCGUUGUAUUAGCUAGUUGGUGAGGUAACGGCUCACCAAGGCAACGAUACAUAGCCGACCUGAGAGGGUGAUCGGCCACACUGGGACUGAGACACGGCCCAGACUCCUACGGGAGGCAGCAGUAGGGAAUCUUCGGCAAUGGACGGAAGUCUGACCGAGCAACGCCGCGUGAGUGAAGAAGGUUUUCGGAUCGUAAAGCUCUGUUGUAAGAGAAGAACGAGUGUGAGAGUGGAAAGUUCACACUGUGACGGUAUCUUACCAGAAAGGGACGGCUAACUACGUG